rnacentral:rRNA from 1 species
UACGUAGGGUGCAAGCGUUUGUCCGGAAUUAUUGGGCGUAAAGAGCUCGUAGGCGGUUUGUCGCGUCUGCUGUGAAAACCCGAGGCUCAACCUCGGGCCUGCAGUGGGUACGGGCAGACUAGAGUGCGGUAGGGGAGAUUGGAAUUCCUGGUGUAGCGGUGGAAUGCGCAGAUAUCAGGAGGAACACCGAUGGCGAAGGCAGAUCUCUGGGCCGUAACUGACGCUGAGGAGCGAAAGCAUGGGGAGCGAACAGG